rnacentral:rRNA from 1 species
UACGUAGGUGGCGAGCGUUGUCCGGAUUUACUGGGCGUAAAGGAUGCGUAGGCGGAUAUUUAAGUGAGAUGUGAAAUACCCGAGCUUAACUUGGGUGCUGCAUUUCAAACUGGAUAUCUAGAGUGCGGGAGAGGAGAGUGGAAUUCCUGGUGUAGCGGUGAAAUGCGCAGAUAUCAGGAAGAACACCCGUGGCGAAGGCGGCUCUCUGGUACGUGACUGACGCUGAGACGCGAAAGCGUGGGGAGCAAACAGG